rnacentral:rRNA from 1 species
AUGGCUCCGGCGGCAAUGGAGGUCGCGCCAGCGCCCGUCGCCGUCGUGGCCGUGCCGUUCCCGGCGCAGGGGCACCUCAACCAGAUGCUGCACCUGUCGCUCCUGCUCGCGUCCCGGGGCCUGGGCGUGCACUACGCGGCGCCCGCGCCGCACGUCCGCCAGGCGCGCGCGCGCGUGCAGGGCUGGGACGCGCGCGCCGUCCGCUCGCUCCACUUCGCCGCCCUCGACGUCCCGCCCUACGCCACGCCGCCGCCCGACCCCGACAGCCCCGUCGCGUUCCCGGCCCACCUGCAGCCGCUCUUCGACGCGUUCUGCGACCACGCCGCGGCCCCGCUCGGGCGCCUCCUCGAGGACCUCGCCGCCGAGCACCGCCGCGUCGUCGUCGUGCACGACAGCCUCGUGGCCUUCCCCGCGACGGAGGCGUCGCGGCUGCCCAACGGCGAGGCGUACGCGCUCCAGUGCGUGGGGCAGUCGUUCGGCGCCGGGUUCAAGGACCCCAGCCACCGCCUGGUGCGCGCGCUCGGCCUGCCCGUCCCGUCACCCGAGUCCUUCCUCACCGAGGCGUUCAUGGGGCUCGUGGAGCGGCAGGGCGGGCUCGGCGUGCCCGGCGCCGGGCUGCUCCUCAACUCGUGCCGCGCGCUCGAGGGAGAGUUCGUCGACGCGCAAGCCGAGGCCCUGUCCCUCGACGGCAAGAAGCUAUUCUCCAUCGGCCCGUUAAACCCACUGCUAGAGCUGGACGUGACCAUGCAGCCGCGGCAUGAGUGCAUGGACUGGCUUGACAAGCAGCCGCCGUCAUCGGUGCUGUACCUGUGCUUCGGCACAAUGACGUCGCUGCCUGGCAAGCAGAUCGAGGAGCUGGCCGGCGCGUUGCAGAGCUGCGAGCAGCGGUUCAUCUGGGUGCUGCGCGACGCCGACCGCGCCGACAUCUUCGCGGAGGCCGGCGAGAGCCGGCACGCCAAGCUGAUGUCCGAGUUCACCAAACGGACCGAAGGGAGGGGGCUGGUGAUCACCGGGUGGGCGCCGCAGCUGGAGAUCCUGGCGCACGGCGCCACGGCGGCGUUCGUGAGCCACUGCGGCUGGAACUCGCUGCUGGAAGGGCUAAGCCACGGGAAGCCGAUCCUCGCGUGGCCCAUGCACUCCGACCAGCCGUGGAACGCUGGGUACGUGUGCGGCCACCUCAAGGCCGGGAUCGUCAUGAGGUCAUGGGAGAAGAGCCGGGAGACGCUGCCGGCCAAGGACAUUCAAGAGGUCAUCAAGAGGGCGAUGGACUCCGACGAAGGCAUCGCCGCGCGGAGUGCGGCGAAGGCGCUCGCCGAGGACGUUCGUGCCGCCGUGGCGAACGGUGGCUCGUCGUGGGCGGACAUGGAGGAGUUCGUCGCCCGCAUCACAAAGUGA